AUUGAACGCUGGCGGCAUGCCUUACACAUGCAAGUCGAACGGCAGCACGGGAGCAAUCCUGGUGGCGAGUGGCGAACGGGUGAGUAAUAUAUCGGAACGUGCCCAGUAGUGGGGGAUAACUGCUCGAAAGAGCAGCUAAUACCGCAUACGACCUGAGGGUGAAAGGGGGGGAUCGCAAGACCUCUCGCUAUUGGAGCGGCCGAUAUCAGAUUAGCUAGUUGGUGGGGUAAAGGCCUACCAGGGCAACGAUCUGUAGUUGGUCUGAGAGGACGACCAGCCACACUGGGACUGAGACACGGCCCAGACUCCUACGGGAGGCAGCAGUGGGGAAUUUUGGACAAUGGGCGCAAGCCUGAUCCAGCAAUGCCGCGUGCAGGAAGAAGGCCUUCGGGUUGUAAACUGCUUUUGUCAGGGAAGAAAUCCUCUAGGUUAAUACCCUUGGGGGAUGACGGUACCUGAAGAAUAAGCACCGGCUAACUACGUGCCAGCCGCCGCAGUAAGAC
rnacentral:rRNA from 1 species